AGUUUUUAAAAUUUUUGACAAUUUUUUGCCUAUUUGGUCUAGUCUGUCAUGUAGCGAGUUUGAGUGACAUUACUUUUACAGUAUUUUUGUUGUAAUUUUUUUUCAUCAAAAUGUUUAAAGUGGUUGUAUUUAUCACUGCGUGUUUAAUUGGGGCCCAUGGACAAGCAGAAUUUGAUCCUAAAAAGAAAGACUAUUGCAAAAUUACUUGCCAAAAAAAUGUGCAUCCUGGGUGCAAUUGCACUCGAGUGGGAAAUCGUCUUGAAUUGGGUCUUAAACAACAUGCUGAAUUUCGCCAAAUAAUAUUAGAUCUCCACAACAGAGCAAGAAAUCUUGUUGCUUCCGGAAAUGAAACUAGAGGCGAAUUGACAUCGGCUUCCAACAUGAUGGCUCUGAGCUAUAGUUUAGAACUGGAAUACUUUGCUAGAUGUUAUAUGAGGAAUAGGUUUAAUGGUGAUCGCUAUAUGGGGAAUUGUAUUGUGAUGGAAAAUGGUUUAAAAGCUGGGCAAAAUGUGAUUGGAGCUAAGGGAAACCAGUCUACUAUUAAUUGGGUAACAAAUAUGUUCAAAGAGUGGAUGGCUGAAGUCACCUUGAUAAAUAAGACACAUAUCGAUUCUUUCUUUGAACCGUCACCAAAUGAGAAAGAUUUUAGAGAUUUCACGCAAAUAAUGUGGGCAACGGUUAAUGAAAUAGGAUGUGCACGACUCUACACACCAGAUACAAAUAAACUGAAAUAUGUAAAACCUUACGUGUCAGCUCUUAUCUGCAACUAUGGAAUAACAAUCUUGAAAGACAAAAACUUGGCACCGAAUACACCAGGCCAACCAGUUUUUAAAAGAGGACCACCUUGUUCAGAUUGUCCUGAGAAAUUGAAGUGUAACCAAAAAUACCCUUCUUUAUGUGGAGAAAUUGCUGCCAUUCCAACGAGUCCACCGUAUGAUCUAGAUAUUUCAGAAGGAGUGACAAUCAAGAAAUUUAAAAGUCUAACGCUUUUGGUUGUGACUAUUUCGUUAUCGUUUCUAUUGUAAUAGAAAUCGCAGUGUUUUAAAUUAUUAAGCACGAAAUUAUCAAAAAAAAAAUUUGCCCAAUUGAACUUUAGUAUUGUACCCCAAUUUAAUAAAUACAAAAUUGUACUAUA